rnacentral:lncRNA from 1 species
GCUGGAAUUGCACCACUGGCCAAUAGGAUUGCAGAAUCCAAACUGUUUUCUACCAGAACUACUCCUUCCCUGCAGAAAGCAGGCUGUGCACGGCUGAACCCUAGUCUGAGAAGGUUGAAGACAUUGACUCAGCCCCAGCAAGGAAGUUAUCCCUCGACUUCUGACCUCUGGCCCUGUUUGAAAACCAACUCAAAUCAUUUUUCAUUUUCAGGUAUGCUGCUCCAAAGCAAUGGCGUGGUUAUUUCUACACAACAAACAUCACAAUUAGUGAUUACAGAGGGAUGGAAUUGGCAAAAGAAUAUCAUGGGUCUACAUGAGCAUGGAGCUGAUAGAAGAAACUGUCAAAUGCAAUUUAAAAGAACACAGUCCUUGUAAUGUAGGGGUGUGCAGAGACAGAAUACAUCUUGAACCAGAACACUAAGGGAGUGCUUGGACGGAACCGGCGCUGGUCCCCAACCCCGGCCGGCUGCCCAUAGCCAGCCCUCCAUCACCUCCACACCGCGCCCUCGG